GAGUGAGCGGCAAAAGCUCAAAUUUGAAAUCUGGCGCCUUCGGUGUCCGAGUUGUAAUUUGAAGAUUGUAACCUUGGGGUUGGCUCUUGUCUAUGUUUCUUGGAACAGGACGUCACAGAGGGUGAGAAUCCCGUGCGAUGAGAUGCCCAAUUCUAUGUAAGGUGCUUUCGAAGAGUCGAGUUGUUUGGGAAUGCAGCUCUAAGUGGGUGGUAAAUUCCAUCUAAAGCUAAAUAUUGGCGAGAGACCGAUAGCGAACAAGUACAGUGAUGGAAAGAUGAAAAGAACUUUGAAAAGAGAGUGAAAAAGUACGUGAAAUUGUUGAAAGGGAAGGGUUUGAGAUCAGACUCGAUAUUUUGUGAGCCUUGCCUUCGUGGCGGGGUGACCCGCAGCUUAUCGGGCCAGCAUCGGUUUGGGCGGUAGGAUAAUGGCGUAGGAAUGUGACUUUACUUCGGUGAAGUGUUAUAGCCUGCGUUGAUGCUGCCUGCCUAGACCGAGGACUGCGAUUUUAUCAAGGAUGCUGGCAUAAUGAUCCCAAACCGCCCGUCUUGAA
rnacentral:rRNA from 1 species